rnacentral:ncRNA from 1 species
AAGGCCUGAUGUGUGUGAGAUUACCCGCUGAAUUUAAGCAUAUAAGUAAGCGGAGGAAAAGAAACUAACUAGGAUUCCCUUAGUAAUGGCGAAUGAACAGGGAUCAGCUCAGUGCCAAAUCGGAAUCACUUGUGGUUCUGAAAUGUGGCUUGAAGGCAGUACCAGUGGCAUCGCGGACGAAAGUCUCUUGGAAAAGAGCGUCAUAGAGGGUGAGAAUCCCGUGAGUCGUUCGCCGUUUGUCACGUACGGUCUGCGUUCUAACGAGUCGCGUUCCUUGGGAUUGGAGCGUAAACGGGUGGUAAAUUUCAUCCAAAGCAAAAUAUAUACUCGAGACCGAUAGCACAAAAGUACCGUGAGGGAAAGGUGAAAAGAACUUUGAGAAGAGGGUUAAAUAGUGCCUGAAAUCGUUGAGAAGGAAGCGGAUGCCGCCGUUGCAUAUGCUGAUUGUAGGAUUGCUGCUCGCUCCUGUCUUCUGCUACUCAUUCACAGACCUGGUCGUGUUGAGCAGUUGUUUGGCAGAUGUUAGUGGUGUUUCCUACUUUCAGUCGUCAGCAUCACUGGCUGAGUGGAAAUAAUCCUUGGAUGCUAAUUGGUUCGCUAUCUGUGAAUUGGU